CCCAACUUCCACAUCAAGGCUUGGUAUUGCUGCUGCUGGCAUCCCUCUCUCUUUUUUCUCAUAAGAUGGCUCCUCCAACAAUCCAGUACUAACCCCUUCUCAGUCAAGGGAGCGUCAGGCAGGGCCAUGAACCUAUCUUGCCCAACACUGCUAUCUUGAUUUUGGCAGCACUGGAGGGCUCGCCUUCUUCGACUGCAGCAAUGUGGUCCUGCCAGGAGUUUCUCUCUGCCUUUAGACCCCCUGCUGUUGUAGCCUUACUGUAUUCCCUGCUCACUGAUGCUUCUUCUCCUGUCAUCUCUCUACCCUAUCUUGAUACGCCUGCUCCACUGACCAGCUUUGUGACACUUUAGAAGCCACUGCUAGCUAACUCCUGUUUCCUGAGAGUACAGUGUGCCAGAACCAUGAGACAGUCACUUAUGCAUGAACACCUUAGCUCAGGAGGAGUUUAUUACCCACCUCUCCUUUGUUUAGGUCUGCCCUGUGCUCCAGUGACAACAUGGGGAUUUUUUUUUAAAGAGUUACCCUUUUGUAAGUGAGCUGCACAUAUCAAAGGCAGAGUCUGGCAACUGUUCUUCAUGCAGAACUGGUGGCAUGUACAACUCUACUGAAGUCAGUGGAGAGACUGUAUUCACACCAAUGGUAACCGAGAGAGGAAUCUGGCCCACUGAGUGCUGUGAUUGACAUUCCACUUUGAGAUGGAGAUUAAUGCUGAUCUCCCUGUGAACAAAAGAUCCUACGCUCUUGUGGGGUGAAAAGGAACAUGAUGGAGGAGAUGAUCUUCUUGCAAACACCCAUGAAUUUCAUCCAGGUAGCCCAGUACUGGGCCCAGGAACUUGCGUGUGACUAAGGUGCAGCUUGCAGAAAGGCAUCCAGUCCUGAUCUGAAGCCAUCAAGAUGGGGAAUCCACCCCUUCCCUUGGUAGUUUGUUACAAUGGUUAAUAAACUUCCUGGGUAAAAGGUUGGGCCUUAUUUCUAAUUUGUAUUUGUCUGGCUUUGGUUUCCAGCCUUUGGUUCUUGUUCUCCCUUUCUCUGCUAUAUUAAAGAGCCCAUUAG